rnacentral:piRNA from 1 species
UAUAACGAAGGUUCUCCUGGAGUGGUAUGC